rnacentral:lncRNA from 1 species
AGAGGACCCUGGGAGAUCGACCGAUGGCUGUGGGAUGUCAAAGAUGCUUUCUGUGAUGCGGAGGACUUACUCGAAGAAUGGAACCUGGAAGUUAUGCAAUUACGAGAAUGGCCGAGCAAAGAUGAGAAGUUGAACCAGGUAAUUUCCUCCUCCUCUUCGCCUUCUGAAAAACCUGAUUUAAGUCUGGAGAUGAGCGCCCGUGCGAAGAAAAUCAGGGAGAGAAUAGAAGCCAUCGCUGCCGAAGGGAGGGAUUUGGGCUUGCGAGAGUGCGCGGAGGAUGUGCGUGUAGAGAGAAGAGAGCGGUUGGACUCCUUUGUGUACGAUGAUGAUAUUAUAGGGAGAGAGGAUGAUAAAAGCGCAAUUAUGAACUUCUUGUUAGACUCUGACACUGAUGAACGAAUUUCUUUCUUUAUAAUAGGGGGUCAGAGUGGGAUUGGAAAGCCGGCUCUUGAUCGCUGUCUAUACGAAGAUGACAAGGUCAAGAAGCAUUUCGAUGUAAGGAUAUGGGUCUGUAUGUGUUACAAACACUUAGAUUAUCUCGAAAGCGAAGUAUGAAAAAUCAGAGGAAGAGAGACAACAGAGAGAGUAGAUGACAUGGAGCAACUGUGAAAAUAUCUCCUAGUUAUUGAACAUCUGUGGUAUUUGGCUCCUGAACAAUGGGGGAGCUUGAGAAGUUUAUUGAUGGGAGGUGCCCAAGGAAGCAAGAUUCUGAUAACUACACACAGUUUUUCAGCUGCGGACUUUCCGAGCACAACCCCAUUUUAUUGUCUCGAGGCCCUUCCAACAGAGUCAUCUUUUGAUUUAUUGAUGAGAAUGGCUUGUCAGGAAGAAGAAGAGACUAGAAAUCCAAUUAAGGUAGAUAUUGGUAGGCGGAUAGUCAAAAUGUGUGAUGGAAUCCCUUUGGCAAUACGAAUGAUUGGAAGUCUAUUAUUCUUCAAGAAAACUGAAGCUGAGUGGUUACAUUUUGAGGACGAGAUCUCAGAACUUUCUGCAGAUUUACUUCAGCUCAGUUAUAAUCAUCUCCCAUGCCAUCUAAAACAGUUUUUUGCCUUCUGUUCAUUGUUUCCCAAAGACUGGGUGAUUGAUAAACAAAUGUUGACCAAGUCUCUGGAUGGCAGAAGGAUUUAUCCUGUCCAUAGACAAUGGAGAUUGGGACAUGGAAGAUAUUGCUCAUGACUAUUUCAUGGAUCUACUUGGGAGGAAUUUCUUUCAAGACUGUUAAAGAUGAACUUGGAAAUAUGAAGUCUUGUAGGAUGCAUCAUUUAGUAAAUGACCUAGCACACCAUGUUGCUGGAACUGAGUAUGGAAGAAUUUAUCAUUUGCAGUCACACCUUGAAGAAAGAACUCAUCAUUUGUCAUGGUAUUCAACUUUACAUUUAUCAGAGGGAGAUCCAUAUAUACACGGAGCAUAUUAUCUGAGGACACUCAUCAAAACUAGUCAAAGAAAAAGAUCAAGGUGUGAAACUCAAAUGGGUGAAGAAACUCUUCGCAAAUUUAUUUCUAGUUUCAAGUUCUUACGUGCCUUGGAUCUGCAUGACAGCGGUAUAGAGAAGUUGCCAAGUUCCAUAUGUGAGUUGAAGCACCUGACAUUUCUAGAUUUCUCUGAAAAUGAAGGAAUCGUAAGGCUUCCUGAUUCUUUGACAAAAAUGAAAACCUUGCAAGUACUUAAACUCAAUAUGUGUUACAAGCUAAUAGAAUUGCCUAGGGAUAUAAGAAAAUUGGUCAACCUCAGGCACCUGGAGAUUAGCAACUGUAAUGCCCUAUCAUAUGAGGGAUGGGUGAGUUGACUCUUUUGCACAUUCUAACAGAUUUCAUUUUGCCUGGGGAUGAUUCCUGCCGAGAGAGUUACGGCGGGCUACGGGAGUUGAACAGGUUAAACAGUUUGAGAGGAAGCCUCAGAAUUGAAGUAAAGGGAAAAAUAAAAGAUGCAGUAGCAGAAUCAAAUGGCUCGAACUUGAAGGAGAAGAAUUCCUUAGUUUCACUAGUAUUAGUAUUUGUCGGAAAAGAACGUGAUGAAGUUCUACUCAAAGAGCUGCAGCCAAGCUUAAAUCUUCAAAGCUUAGAACCAAGAGGCUAUGGGGGCGCAAUGUUUCCAAGCUGGAUGUCUCGCAUGCCUAAGUUAGUUCAGCUACGGUUGUUUGAUUGUGCACGAUGCAAAAGUCUCCCAUCACUUGGUGAGCUCAACAGCCUCAAGCAUUCGGACAUUAGUGAGCUAUCCAUAACAGAGUACACAGAAAGUGAUAUUCAUACCCUCUCAUCACCUCCUGAUCUGUCUGCGUUAAGGAUAUGGGAGUGUCCUAAUUGGAACGGAUUCCACAACUUGUACAGCUCACGGAGUUGGGACCUCCUAGUUUGCCUGUGGAGGCCCUUGUAGACUUUUAGUUGCCCACUACUGAACAUAUAAUUGGUAUUGAUGAUCGAGUGAAGGAUGUAAUCCGAGAAGCAGGAUCAUCCUCACAACCAGAAGAAAAGAUGUUUACCAGAUUCAAAGAAAUGAGGACCAAGUCAUUUCAUAUGAGCAUGACCAUGAGAUUUUACCGAUGAAUGAAAAUCAUGCUCUCGAACUUUUCCGGAAAUCUUCCUUUUGCUAUUGAUAUUGUGGGAAGAUAUUUGAAUGGGAAGAACGAAAAUAUAUGGAGACAGGCUUUGGAUGACUUAAAAGGAGAGCUGCAAGAGAAAGUGGAACGAAUGUUGGAGGCAUGCUAUAAACUUUUGGGCAAAAAGGCCAGAGAAAUUUUCCUUGAUGUAGCGUGUUUCUUUACAGGGGUUGAAAAGACAAUGCCCUUUUACAUGUGGACUGCUCGUAAACUUGGCCUUGAUAUACGAGUUGAUGAGCUUCAGAACAUGUCCUUUCUAAAAACUGGAGAAAAAAAAAGAGUUUUUGAUGCAUGGCCAACUAAAAUUUCUGGGAAGAGAAAUUGUCAAGAAGGAAGACGAAGACCCCUGGCAGCGGAGCAGGGUGUGGAAUUACGAAGAUGUCCAAACAACAUUGUGCAAAAAGAAGGUAAAAUUACGCUGAGAUUUCUCCAGUAUUCUUGUCAAGUUUUCGUCUUAUCAUUUUACUAUUUCAUUGCAUAAUUAUUUGUUUGAAUUUCAUGCUUCCAUUUCGUUAAUGAAUUGGCCGGGUGCCAACAAGGUUAAAGCUCUUCGUGUAACCCGUGAUUUUAUUCAAGUUGAUGGCGAAGUAUAAUUUGAGGUUUCUUAAAUUGGACAAUGUUGAUAUUGAUGGAAAUCCUGAGAAUCUUCUUCCAAACCUAGUAUGGCUUGAUUGGCAUGGAUGCCAUGAUAAAUAUAAGUUGUUUGAGUUCAAAUAGAAUCCAUUAUCAUAAAUACAAGGGGAUUUCUAGAGACGUUGGAAGCUGAUUCACCUUAGGAAUUUCUUCCAAAGUCAGCCUUACUUGCUCACACUCACAAGAAUGGUAAAGAGAAAAACUCUAGAGAGAAGUGAGAUGGAUAUAAAUGAGGGGGGAGUCCCUAUAUAUAUAAGUACAAGCUCAAAUGUGGUCAUAAAUCUCUCCUCAAUCCCACGGUAGAGAUCACAUCUUCUACCUGCAUUUAUUAAAAGAGUGUUCUCGAGUAUUCUAAAAUACUCGAGAAAACUUUAGGAUUCGAGAGAUAGUCAAGGGUUGCUCGUUCAUGUCAUACAAAACCUUUUGGGUCGCAUCCCUUCCUUGGGUUGUGACAAUAGCAUGUGCUCUUUUGUUUAUGUUGUGGAUGGUUAUAAUGUUACUUUUUAAUAAGAUGAGUCGAAUAUGAGUUAGUUAACUUUUAAUAAAAUGAGUUAUUAAUGGGUUUGGGUUGUUUGUAAAUGUAAUGAUAAAUUGAUUGUAAAUGGGUUUGUCUUUAAACCCAUUUAAAACGCAUUUAACUUAUAAAGAUUAUUAGUUAAGUCAAUCCAUUAAGGAUAUAUAUUCUCUUUAAAUAUUAUUUUAUCAUUUUUAUUUAUUUUUAUUUUCGAUUUUCUAAUAUUAUUUUCUUUUAUUUUCUUUUUAUUUUCUUUCUUUAUUUUUCUUCUUUCCCAACGAAGUCCAACAGUUGACCCUCAUCGGAUGCCAAAAGAGGACUGUAGGGCGAGGUUCGCAAUUGUUGCCCAAUUACACUGGCAAGCCCGAGCUCACCAAAUCUAGGGAGUUGAGCACACCGGCCUCAUUGAUCUAGUGAGACUUGAGCUCGCCAAAGUCAAAGAGAGCUUGACUUUGCUGGAAUCAAGCGAGACCAAGGCUCAAGCCUUGCCGAUCUAGCGAGACUUAAGCUCACUAGUGUCAAGGCAAGCUCAACCUUGUUGGAUUUGGCAAGGUCGAGCCUCACCUAAGGCAAGCAAGGCCGAGGCUCAAGCCUUGCCAAUCUAGCGAGACUUGAGCUCACCGACAUCGAGGCGAGCUAGACCUCGCUAGAUUCAACAAGGCUCGACUCGCUGAAAUCAAACAAGCUCAAGCCUUGUCGGCCUGUGGCGAGGCUAGAGCUUGCCGUCAUCAGCCAUGAUGUCCAUGGUCGGCAAUCGGUUGAAGAAGAGAAAAAAGAAAAAAGAAUUAAAAAUUCUAUUUAUUGGAAAAAGAAGUUAAAAUAAAAAUACUUAAAAGGAGUGCACAAAAAAUCAAAUCUAAUUUCCUAUAUGAAGCAAAAAGUAUUUUUUAAUUUAUUUUCAAGUUUCAACCAAACACUGUAAAAUAUUAUCAUUUUUAAAAAUACCACAUUUUUUGUGAAAUAAAUGAAAGCCUUAAUUUUUUUAAGAAAAUUAUAUUAUGAAUUCAUAAUUUUGUAAUUAUAUGAGAGUGUGUUGACACCUAAAUUUUGGCGAUCUAUUUAAUCAUUUAGUCAUUAAAAAUUAGGGUUUAAUUUUAUCAAAAAAAAUAUUAAUUACAUAGCAUAUAGAUUUAUGUGCAUUUUAUUUUAAUUGACAUUUUAUUUAUUGGACUGGUGCGGAUGGGUUCAAAUUGAUCGGACUAAGCCCAUAAAGACUACAAGUUAGCUCGAGCCAAUUUUCUGAAAUUGAGAUUUGAAAUAAUGAUUUUUGGAAUUUAAGAAAAUCGGGUUGUGAUCUUAUCUUUAAAAAUCAGUAGAAAAUAUUUAGGAGAUAAGGAGAAUAGUAUGAGAUAAAAGGAUUUUGUGAUUCGGAGGUUAUAGGCAAUUUUCGAAAUAUUCUAAGAAGAUCGCAUUAUGUUUGUCUAUAAAAGGAGACAUUGUACGGCAGAGAAAAAAGGAGACACCGCCGGGCGACCCGGAGCCUCACGCCGCACCACUGUGCCCACACCGUCGCCACUCUGCUGUGGCCCUCCCUCGACGAGUCUUCACCAUUGUUCCGCCAGUCUGGCCACGACAUCCGGCCCCGCCGUCGACGCACGCAGCUGCUCCCUUGCCGGUCCGUCUCCCUUGCGCGACCCACUGCCGAGAUCUGCCGUCUUGCCCCACCGGACUUCCGUCUGCGAACACCCUAGCAGACGACCCGACGACCGCUCCAGCAACGCCGCGACGACCUACUGCUCUGCCGUGCUGCGACCCGGAGUCUUCUACCCGAGCCGACUGACCCACUGUAGCCCUCUGACGCCGCAACAGCCACGGGUUUCCUCUGUUGCGCUUCCACCCUCCGAUCGGUCGCAUCAGCCUCGCCCGAAGCCCAUCGCCACUCUCCUGCCCGUCCGGACCCGAGCCUCCCUAGCUCCGCUCCUGUGCUGCAGCCGCCCUUGCCGGAUCCCCUUUGCCGGACUGAUCAGCCGGCUCCCCUCGGAGAUUCACGGCUGUGUGCGGAAAGGAAGAGAAAACAGAAAAAGAGAAAGAAAAAUCAGAUUAGGUAGUUUUUAUUUUAUUUUAUUUUAUUUUAUUUUAUUAUUAUUUCUUUAAUAUUCUGUUUUGGUGGAAUUGUUCCUUAAUAUAUGACUGAUAUCCCAAUAUGAAAUAAUUACCAAAUCAGCCGAAAACACUUUCCUAUUAAAGAAAGUAUUCGUGCAUAAUUUUAGGAAAGUGAAUCCAGAAAUACUUAUCUCGAAUUUUUUUAAUAUUAAAUUAUUUGCUUUUCUUUUAUUUUCUUCUUUACUUUUCCUUUCUUUUUUUUGAACAGUACUUUUCCUUUCUUGGCCCGUCACCUUUUUCUUCUCCCUCCUCUGCUGAUCACCGACCUUAGGCCGAUCACCGAGAUCUAGUGCACUUCACCCCCGAAGAGCCAUGGCGGAAGCACUCAUCUUGAGAGUAGCUAAACUUCUGGAUGAUUUCCCAGAAGGUGCAAAAUUAUGGGGCGCUGGCGGCGAAUUUUCCGAGUUCAAGAAAACCGCUUCCUUUCUCCGAAGUAUACUGCCCGAUGCGGAAAAGCGGAGAUUCAAAGAACACAGGGAAAUCGACCGAUGGCUGAGGAAUCUCAAAGAUGCUUUCUAUGAUGCGGAGGACUUACUCGAAGAAUGGAACAUUGACGUCAUGCCAUUACGAGAAUCGCCGAGCAAAGAUGAGAAGUUGAAGCAGGUAAUUCCCUCCUCCUCUUCGCCUUCUGCAAAACCUGAUUUAAGGCUGGAGAUGAGCGCCCGUGCGAAGACAAUCAGGG